CAAUAGCGUAUAUUAAAGUUGUUGCAGUUAAAAAGCUCGUAGUUGAAUUUUUGCUUGCCGCCGAUGUCGGAACUUCCGUACGUUCGGCGGCGUGCAUCCUUGGGUGGAACCUGUGUGGCAUUAGGUUGUCGUGCAGGGGAUGCUCAUCGUUUACUGUGAAAAAAUUAGAGUGUUCAAAGCAGGCUUACGCCGUUGAAUAUAUUAGCAUGGAAUAAUAAGAUAGGACCUUGGUACUAUUUUGUUGGUUUGCGCACCGAGGUAAUGAUUAACAGGGACAGUUGGGGGUACUCGUAUUCCAUUGUCAGAGGUGAAAUUCUUGGAUUUCUGGAAGACGAACUACUGCGAAAGCAUUUACCAAGGAUGUUUUCAUUAA
rnacentral:rRNA from 1 species